rnacentral:rRNA from 1 species
CAGCAGCCACGGUAAUACGGAGGGAGCUAGCGUUAUUCGGAAUUACCGGGCGUAAAGCGCACGUAGGCGGCUUUGUAAGUAAGAGGUGAAAGCCCAGAGCUCAACUCUGGAAUUGCCUUUUAGACUGCAUCGCUUGAAUCAUGGAGAGGUCAGUGGAAUUCCGAGUGUAGAGGUGAAAUUCGUAGAUAUUCGGAAGGACACCAGUGGCGAAGGCGGCUGACUGGACAUGUAUUGACGCUGAGGUGCGAAAGCGUGGGGAGCAAACAGGAUUAGAUACCCCUGUAGUCCCUGUCUCUUAUAC